GGACGUGAGGGCAAUCUGGCUGUGACAUCUGUCACCUGAUUGAUCUCCAGGGUUGAUGUGGCUGAUCUAGCUGGUUAGGUGGGUGUCCCCUUCCUCCCUCUCCACUCCAUGCACAUCCCUCCCAAACCUGUGUGCUUAGUCAAAGAGGACGACCUUCCCCAAAUAGAGGAGGAACAGUCUUCAGUCAAGUGUAUAUGAGUAGUCGUGCUCCCCUGCUAGAACCUCCAAACAAGCUCUCCAUUGGACAGUGAAACAAGGACAUUCCAUAACAAAAGCAGGCAGAAGGAAUAUCU
rnacentral:snRNA from 1 species